CAAAAGACGAGUUUCCAAUUUUCAAAGACAAAUCUACAUAAUCGUUUCUGCAUUAUAAUAGUAAAUGUGAUACGAAAAACCAACAGCGAAACAAAGGUUAUGACUGCUGAUACGUGGAUUUUUAUACAUUGACAAGGAGCCUCAAUCCUGGAACUCAACAUACGAGUAUAGCACAGGUCUUGGCUGGCGAGAGGCGAGCUCUGCGAUGAGUUUAUCGCUUUAAUAAACGGCAGUCGCUCCGCACGGAGGCUGUGAGCGCCGAAAUCUUAAAUCUAGUUAAACGCGUGCUAUAUAACAACGUGCCUCUGUUAAUUGUCUUAUCAAAUUCGAACCAGGAGAUGAUAACGUCUACAAGAUCCUCUAUUCUGGGUCGUUUGUUACCCAGAAUUAGAGAAGACCUGCCAGAACGAAAUUUACGCGAUUUUUUGUGAAGUGAAUUGGGAAGGAACAAAAUUAAAACACACUUGUUACUUUGUUAAAAUAGUACAAAAACAUACGCUGCAAUAAUAAUAAUAAUUGUGCCUAACGUUUAUUACACGAAACUGUUGUUAAAACAAUACAAACACACGUUACGAUUUUGUGAGACGUGCGUUUGCAUAAAAGUUAUAUUUUAGAAGUUGUGUGGGGAAUUAAUUCUACUUGCAAAUAGAUCCGACGACACUUGUACCUUCAAAUAUUCCAACUUGUGGAGGUGUUCAAAGUGUUAAAAUAUUAUCGAGGAAUUUUGCUGUUAUCGUAUCAAUCUAUUAAUCU